UACAGAGGUCUCAAGCGUUGUUCGGAUUCAUUGGGCGUAAAGGGUGCGUAGGCGGCGCGGUAAGUCGGGUGUGAAAUCUCGGAGCUUAACUCCGAAACUGCAUUCGAUACUGCCGUGCUUGUGGGCUGGAGAGGAGACUGGAAUUUACGGUGUAGCGGUGAAAUGCGUAGAUAUCGUAAGGAAGACCAGUGGCGAAGGCGGGUCUCUGGACAGUUCCUGACGCUGAGGCACGAAGGUCAGGGGAGUAAACGGG
rnacentral:rRNA from 1 species